rnacentral:misc_RNA from 1 species
GUGUUCUUGUCCAUUACUUCCAUCUGGUCUAGAAAAGAAACAUUUGCAUUAUUAUCGUAAUACAAGUUUAUAUCUGAAAGACAUCUGAUAAAUUGUUACAAUGGCAACACAUCAUAUUAAAUACCAAUAAAAUAUUUUCCAAAAUGAGAAGCAAAAUUAUCAUAUUUCAUUUGAAGAACUCGAGGUACAGGUUAUUAUUGCUCAGUAAACAUCCAAUUACAAAUAAAAAUGAAAUGAUUCCAUGUGCAAAUAAGCAUGUGUGCACUAAAUCAGUCCCUAACAAAAUAAGCGUAGCAAACUUCAGUCCUUCAAAGAUACUGUUCUUAGCCAGCCGCUGUUGAACUUUGCUCACUUUCUUUUGUUGCCUGCAUCAGAUGUGGGGAUUUGAUCAAUGUACUUUCCUAUGGUGAUGGAAGAGGCAAGGGAGUCUAGCAGUAAUUUUUGAGAUCGAAAUAUUAGUGGGGUCACAGAACUCAUAAAAUCUUUUCUUAUAUUGUUCUUCUUUUAUGGAAUUCAUAAAGGCAGAGAAAUGCUAUUUGAAAGAUUUAUUUGGUCAUAGCCAAAGAUAGGGAGAAAAAAAAAAGAAAUGGCCUUCCA